CUUUAGUUUGAGACCCCGAAACCAGGUGAGCUACCCCGAGACAGCCUAUAUAAAUUAGGGCUAACCCGUCUCUGUGGCAAAAGAGUGGGAAGAGCUCCGGGUAGAAGUGACAGACCUACCGAACCUGGUGAUAGCUGGUUGCCUGAGAAAUGGAUAGAAGUUCAGCCCCGCAUACCCCAGACCAAAACCCUACAAUUAAGGUAAUUUAAGAGAAAUGUGUGGGAGUUAGUUAAAGGGGGUACAGCCCCUUUAACAAAGGAUACAACCUUAUCAGGAGGAUAAAGAUCAUAAUAUUUAAAACAAACUGUUUUAGUGGGCCUAAAAGCAGCCACCUAGAUAGAAAGCGUUAAAGCUCAGACAGAAUGAAUUUUAUUAUACCGAUAAAAAAUCUUACUCCCCUAAAAAUAUCAGGCUAUUCCAUGCUCGCAUGGAAGAAAUUAUGCUAAAAUGAGUAACAAGAAGACCUGCUCUUCUCCAAGCACAAGUGUAACCCAGAUCGGACAAACCACUGGGAAAUAACGAACUCAACUCAAGAGAGUACUGUGAACAAUAUAAAAACCAAGAAAAACUCACAACAAAAUAAUCGUUAACCCCACACUGGAGUGCCUUAUAAAGGAAAGACUAAAAGAAAGGGAAGGAACUCGGCAAACACAAGCCUCGCCUGUUUACCAAAAACAUCGCCUCCUGCAACUAGAUUAAGUAUAGGAGGUCCAGCCUGCCCAGUGACUACGGGUUCAACGGCCGCGGUAUUUUGACCGUGCAAAGGUAGCGCAAUCACUUGUCUUUUAAAUAGAGACCUGUAUGAAUGGCUAAACGAGGGCUUAACUGUCUCCCCCUUCCAGUCAGUGAAAUUGAUCUAUCCGUGCAGAAGCGGGUAUAAUAAUACAAGACGAGAAGACCCUUUGGAGCUUAAGGUACAAAAUUUAACCACGUCAAACAACUCAGUAAAAAGCAAGAACUUAGUGGACUAUAAAAUUUUACCUUCGGUUGGGGCGACCGCGGAGGAAAAACUAGCCUCCGAGUGGAAUGGGUUAAACCCCUAAAACCAAGAGAAACAUCUCUAAGCCGCAGAACAUCUGACCAACAAUGAUCCGGCCUUACGGCCGAUCAACGGACCAAGUUACCCUAGGGAUAACAGCGCAAUCCUCUCCCAGAGUCCAUAUCGACGAGGGGGUUUACGACCUCGAUGUUGGAUCAGGACAUCCUAAUGGUGCAGCCG
rnacentral:rRNA from 1 species